UUAUCUAACUGUACAAUUAUGAUUGUAGUAUUAGAGUGUAAUUAUAAUUCAUACAUUUAUGCAUCCUGAAUACUUUUAAAAAUGUUUUACAUUUAUCUUUGAACAUGUGGCAUCUUUUCCUGCAAACUUAUACAAACGUUAGUUCCCGUUACAUGAAGUUAAGUAUAUAAAUGUGUUGCUCUAAAGAUAAACCUUAGGUGUAAGAAAAUUAUGGAGCGAUCAAUUGUGUUUGUGUGAGUUUGUACCUAUUUUCCAAAGAAAAUAGCAAUAUUAGAACAAAGAAGAUUACGUUAAUACCAUGGAUAAUUUACUGGAAAUCUAGAAGCCUCAGACAUUCUGAAACCACAUUUAUAUUUUCAUAUUUUUAUUUAAUUAAUUAAAAUCUAAUGGAUUGUUGUUGAGAAUCUCCCCAUAUAAAUUCCCUGUUUUUAUUUGAUGCUCAUGCUAGAGCUAUAAUUUCUUUGAUUCUCUUUUUUUUUUUUUUUUCACCUCAUGAAGUAUUUAUUAUGUGAGCUGGUCAGAAAUUAUAAGAAUGAUUUUUAUAAAAUUUAGUAGUGAACAUAAAAUUUUUAGAUGUAAUUUCAUAAUAUAUGUAUUAAGUUAUGUUUUAGUUAGAACAUUUCAUUUUGUUUUAAGAACCCUAUAUAAGCUGUUUUGUUUAGUUAUUGUUCCUUUCAGUUUUUAUAAUUGACAUAAAUUAGUUUAUUUUACCAAUUUGUUCAGGUAAGUACUGGGAAAACUUUGUCAAUUAUGGGGAUGUUUUGAUGUAUUAUUGUAGUGAACAAAUAGAAAGUUCUGGGUGUUUAAUAGUUACUUCAUGAUUAGCCAUAAAUAUUCCUGGAGUUAAUUUGUAGCUCCAAGUAAGAGAUUGAAAAUAAUCUAUGGUGAACAGAUUCAUUGUGGUGAACAGAUUCAUUGUGGUGAACAGAUUGAUUGUGGUGAACAGAUUCAUUGUGCAUGUGGAGAGGACAUCUGUUCCCAGGCUGCAGAACCAACUCAUUAUGAAUGUAAAGAGGAUUUGUGUUCUUAUUUUCUACUUAUCUUCAGUUUUGUGAUGUCUUUAUGUAUUUAUGCCCAGGUAUGUAUGCCCCAGAGCCUUUCUUCAUUUUUGUAUUAUGGCUAGUUUCUCACUGUUCUCUUCAUGCCACGUAAUUUCACGUGGACUUUAGGUUCUGAUGAGAAGUUUGAAGUCUUUACUAUGGUAAAUUGUUUUUAACUGGGGUGUUUGAGGUUAUUUAUAGGUUAUCAGUGCAACAUUUAGAUCACGUAAUUGAGAUAAGAGUAAUUCACUGUCCACAGGUAAGAGGAUUAAGUCAGUCGGCAUUGUUUUUCUGUGUUUGUAAAAGAAAAAUUGUAUGAGAUUCUAUGACAAAGUGUGUAAAAUGUAACAAAAGCUAGAACAAGGAAAGCAUUAAUAUAAGUGGGUUGUAUAUUGUACCACCAUAUGUAGAAACACAUCAGAAUUUUGAAAUUUCUUAAGAGGAAAUAUAUCUUAGUAAUAAAAUUUUUAGGCCAGGCGUGGUGGCCUAAAAAGUGCUGUAAUCCCAGCACUUUCGGAGGCUGAGACAGGCAGGUGACGAGGUCAAGAGCCAAGAUCAUCCUGGCAAACAUGGUGAAACCCCAUCUCUACUGAAAAUACAAAAAUUAGCCAGGCAUGGUGGCACGUGCCUGUAGUCCCAGCCACUCCGGAGGCUGAGGCAGGAGAAUCGCUGGAACCCAGGAUGCGAAGGUUGCAGUGAGCUGACGUUGUGCCACUUCAGUGCAUCCUGCCAACAGAGCAAGACCCCAUCUCAACAACAACAAAAAGGAAGAAAAUUUUUAGGAGAUAAUGACUACAAGAAGUCCUGCAACAGGAACACUGAUCUAUCUUCUUCAUGUUCCUCCACAUUUCCUCUGGACACUGCAAGUUGAACCUUCUGGGGAAACAUAGAAGGUUUCUUGGUGUCAGUGUAUGGUGUGUUUGGUUUUACCUGGGAGUGGUGAUUUUGGAUGUCAGUGAUUCUGGAUGUCAAUUUGGAACUCUCUAGAAACACUAUGUAUCAUUGUCAAGUCGGAAUGGCAAUAAAAAUGCCUUUCAACAGUUGAACAUAACGUCCACCUUUGGCUCAGUCACACAGACAAAGACCCAGAAUCUGUGUUUCUCAGCUGUGGUGCCUGUGCAAAUGCUGGAACUCAAAGAAUAUUCAGUGGUAGACACACAGACACUGCCUAAUAAAAUUAUGUAUGAUUAAGUUUAAUAUAAAUGGAAUUUAUAUUGUCAUGUAAAAUGUUACUUAAUUUUAUAAGAAAACUGAGUUGAUUUUCUAAAGGUAUUAAAUGCAAUUUUAAUAGGAAACCAUGAAA